rnacentral:lncRNA from 1 species
ACUGGAGAAGUAGCCUGAUCAACAAGGGAUCAACUACCCAGAAGAUAGCUAUACCUAAGGGGAACUUCAUGAGGAUGCUACAAAGGGAGAAAAAGACCAGGAGUCAGGAGAUAUCUGUCAACCAAUCAUUCAACAAGUAUGUGUUAUGGAUCUAUAAAAAAAUUCAAGACAAGCCCUGGUCCUUCCCAAGUCUUCUCUUAUUCAGGCUAAACAACUAUAGUCUCUGUAACCGAUGAAAUCAGGAAGACCUAAGUAUGACUUCUAUCUCUGAGACUUCAGUGUUCUUCCAAGAAAGAAGCAUCAUGGUACAAGAGAAAUAUCUUUGGGUCUCAACUCUGAUGGACCUGGGCUCAAAUCCCAAU